UACAGAGGGUGCGAGCGUUGUCCGGAAUCACUGGGCGUAAAGGGCGCGUAGGUGGCGACCUAAGUCCGUGGUGAAAGCUCGUCGCUCAACGACGAGUCGGCCACGGAGACUGGGUGGCUCGAGCACUGUAGGGGCAGAUGGAAUUCCGGGUGUAGCGGUGGAAUGCGUAGAUAUGCGGAGGAACACCGAUGGCGAAGGCGAUCCCCUGGACCUGUACUGACGCUCAUGCACGAAAGCGUGGGGAGCAAACAGG
rnacentral:rRNA from 1 species